rnacentral:rRNA from 1 species
CCUACGGGUGGCAGCAGUGAGGAAUAUUGGUCAAUGGACGAGAGUCUGAACCAGCCAAGUAGCGUGAAGGAUGACUGCCCUAUGGGUUGUAAACUUCUUUUAUAUGGGAAUAAAAUGUUCCACGUGUGGGAUUUUGUAUGUACCAUAUGAAUAAGGAUCGGCUAACUCCGUGCCAGCAGCCGCGGUAAUACGGAGGAUCCGAGCGUUAUCCGGAUUUAUUGGGUUUAAAGGGAGCGUAGGUGGUUUGUUAAGUCAGUUGUGAAAGUUUGCGGCUCAACCGUAAAAUUGCAGUUGAAACUGGCAGUCUUGAGUAGAGGAGAGGUAGGCGGAAUUCGUGGUGUAGCGGUGAAAUGCUUAGAUAUCACGAAGAACUCCGAUUGCGAAGGCAGUUCACUGGACUGCAACUGACGCUGAGGCACGAAAGUGUGGGUAUCAAACAGGAUUAGAUACCCUGGUAGUC